CAUUCACGGAGAGUUUGAUCCUGGCUCAGGACGAACGCUGGCGGCGUGCUUAACACAUGCAAGUCGAACGAUGAACCACUUCGGUGGGGAUUAGUGGCGAACGGGUGAGUAACACGUGGGCAAUCUGCCCUUCACUCUGGGACAAGCCCUGGAAACGGGGUCUAAUACCGGAUAACACUGCGGAUCGCAUGGUCUGCGGUUAAAAGCUCCGGCGGUGAAGGAUGAGCCCGCGGCCUAUCAGCUUGUUGGUGAGGUAAUGGCUCACCAAGGCGACGACGGGUAGCCGGCCUGAGAGGGCGACCGGCCACACUGGGACUGAGACACGGC
rnacentral:rRNA from 1 species